UACGGGGGGGGCAAGCGUUGUUCGGAAUUACUGGGCGUAAAGGGCUCGUAGGCGGCCAACUAAGUCAGACGUGAAAUCCCCAGGCUCAACUUGGGAACUGCGUCUGAUACUGGAUGGCUUGAAUUCGGGAGAGGGAUGCAGAAUUCCAGGUGUAGCGGUGAAAUGCGUAGAUAUCUGGAGGAAUACCGGUGGCGAAGGCGGCAUCCUGGACCGAUAUUGACACUGAUGAGCGAAAGCCAGGGGAGCAAACGGG
rnacentral:rRNA from 1 species